rnacentral:tRNA from 1 species
GCCUGGGUAGCUCAGUCGGUUGAGCGUCCGACUUCGGCUCAGGUCAUAAUCUUGCCCUCUGUGAGUUCGAGCCCCGCGUCAGGCU